rnacentral:lncRNA from 1 species
UUCUCUAUACACUGAAGUCGACCUAACUCAGCAUCAUGAAGCCCUACCCUACGAACCCUUAUAUAUAUCUCAUAUGCCUACCAACCUUACACACAAUUGACGUUUGUGCUUCUUAACUCAGUGCCAAAACCUUUUUUUUUUACAUAUCUUGGACGUUUGUUAACUUUUAUAUUCUAUUUGUAUAUAAUGAUUCUAAGAAAAGUCAUUCAUUGCCUGACAUCGGUGAGGAUUAAUAUGGAUGAAGGGAUCAUCGGCUUCGGCACCAUAGGCAUUAACUAUACUUCUUUAUUUUAUCCUUUGUAUUUUUAUAUUUUUUUCGUCUUUAGAUUUAUUAAUUAUUGCAAAUUAUGAGAAUUGUUACAAAGAUAAUCUACCAUGGGCAAUUCCUUCCGACCAUAUUAGAUUCACUAUUGACAACACUCCUUUGCUGAUCUUGAAGGCCUUCUUCUCCAUGCUGAUUUUGGACACCAUCUUCUUAUUCAAUAGAAUUGAAUCACGGCAAACGGCUAUAAUUACGCAUCACUGGAGAUCUCCUGUAAACUUAUCUCCAUUAAUCUGCAGAAAUAUAAAUAAAUCGCAUUAUCUGGGGUUCGAACCCCAGACCUCCUGGUGUAGAAGCAUUACUAAACCCUUGGUCAACACCAUUGGACCAAGGGGGCUUCUACUAUCCUUC